GUCACGAUAGCUCAAGUGGUAGAGUGGCGGCGUAAUUAGCCGAGGGUCGUGGGUUCGAGUCCCGCUCGUGACA
rnacentral:tRNA from 1 species